UACGUAGGGUGCAAGCGUUAAUCGGAAUUACUGGGCGUAAAGCGUGCGCAGGCGGUUCGCUAAGACAGAUGUGAAAUCCCCGGGCUUAACCUGGGAACUGCAUUUGUGACUGGCGGGCUAGAGUAUGGCAGAGGGGGGUAGAAUUCCACGUGUAGCAGUGAAAUGCGUAGAGAUGUGGAGGAAUACCGAUGGCGAAGGCAGCCCACUGGGCCAAUACUGACGCUCAUGCACGAAAGCGUGGGGAGCAAACAGG
rnacentral:rRNA from 1 species